UUUGGAUGAAAAUCACAUUUGGAUGAAAAUCACUAUGUCUAGUGGAUGCUGACCACUACAGAGGGAGGCACGUUUCUGAAUGUUUGGUAUCGUUGUUGUCUGCUUGGUGUCAGUGGGACCUGAGCCCUAUGACCAUGCCUCAGGACUACCUGGCAUGAUGACUUCACCCGGCACAGCCAGAAGAGGACUGGCCACCCCUCAUAGCCUGGUUCCUCUCUAGGUUUAUACCUAGGUUUUGCCCUUUCUAGGGAGCUUUUCCUAGCCACCGUGCUUCUACACCUGCAUUGCUUGCUGUUUGGGGUUUUAGGCUGGGUUUCUGUACAGCACUUUGAGAUAUCAGCUGAUGUAAGAAGGGC
ensembl:lncRNA